rnacentral:rRNA from 1 species
UACGUAGGGGGCAAGCGUUGUCCGGAAUUAUUGGGCGUAAAGGGCGCGCAGGCGGCCGUUUAAGUUUGGUGUAACAGCCCGUGGCUCAACCACGGGAAGCACUGAAAACUGGGCGGCUCGAGUGCAGGAGAGGAAAGUGGAAUUCCACGUGUAGCGGUGAAAUGCGUAGAGAUGUGGAGGAACACCAGUGGCGAAGGCGACUUUCUGGUCUGUAACUGACGCUGAGGCGCGAAAGCGUGGGUAGCAAACAGG